GUGCAUAUAGCUCAAUGGCAGAGCAAUAGUUUCCUAAACUAGAGAUGAAAGUUCGAUUCUUUCUUUGUACA
rnacentral:tRNA from 1 species